AAAGAAGAAAACGAAAAUAAUUGUUUCUAAAAUCGGUCUUAUUUCACAAUGAUAAUGACUCAGAACGAAAGACAAUUCAAAGGGGAAAAAUUUCUCUACCUACCGGUUAAAGUAAACUUCUUCUAGUCUAUGAAAAGAGGAAAUUCAGCUCUUGUUCUAACAAUAUUCGUUUUGAAUAGCAAAUGACUGCUAUUCACAGACUGUACAAGGGUCAGAGGUACCCGAAAAGUUGUGAACUUGCUUGCCCGCAAGGGAGAAUGCAUUAUAUAUGAUUAGAAUAAGGAAUUUCAAACUACCGAAAGUAAAACUAAAAUUACGAGUUCGUUGCGGUUCUUAAAGCACAAUAUAUCAUCGUCCACUAGGAAAAUUCGAGGAAAAUAGGAUCAGCAGGAGUGAAAGUAUAACACCAAUUACUACGG